rnacentral:ncRNA from 2 species
CCACAAGAUAGAGGUGCGAAUGAGACGACGCUGCGGAAGCCGACAGGCGAUGAACGCAACGGAAGUGAUUUCGCCGAACUGAAACGGCAGGUAUGCCGUUUUGGUGGGCCCGGGGAAAACAUCUCCGGAACUGUCCGCGGGAAACCGCGGGGGCGCUAUCUGCUCA